CUUUAUCCUGAAUUCUGCUUGCUAUCAUCGUGAAUCCCAUAUCUCUUCAAAGCAGAUUCCGGUGAGUCUAAUUACUUUACCAUUUUCGCAAAAAUCCCCCUGCAUAAGAUUUGUUCUGUGAACGAUUUACGGAUUUAUGUUUUUAAGAAUCUCACAUAGCUAGCCUAGCAGCCAUGGAAACAGCGUUGCUUAACUCAUUCUUAAGCUUCCAGAGGCCCCUUCUUUCCAUACCAACAGGAAAAUCUUCAAGGGGGAUUCGAGCAGCUAGACUACCUUUGAGGGAUUCUCAAAGAUCACAUAUACUUCUUGCAUUGUAAUUGUGUAUUUUUUUUUCAUUAUUGUGAUUGUUCUAAAAUGCAAUUAUGACUAAUGUAGAGAACGAACAAAUAAGCACAAGAAUGAAGUUGUGAAGUUUUGAAAAAGAAGAUGAACAGCAGAAAACUAGAAUGGAGAUGAUGACGGUUGAGGAUAAAUUUGAAUAUACAGGCUUGAUUUCAGGAGCUUUGCCAGGUUUUGACAUGGAAGAUUCCUCACCAUUCCCAUUCCCAACUUCUGGCAUCUCAACUGCCAUAUGAUGAGUUGAUGAUUCUCUGGUGCCUGCAACUUGGCUAGGGCCAUAUGCAGCUCUUCUUCUUGCCUUCUUAGCCCACCCAGCAAGGCUCUCUUGUAUAUGCUCUUGGAAUAUAGCUUUCUUGAAUGAACUUCCCAUCUUCAAUCAAUCACAAACCAAAUCUAGUGUCAGUCACUCACUCGGUGAGUCAAGAUGUCUAAAACAGACAAAGCUCUAGUUAGAGCAACCUCAUCAAUAGAUUUUUAGGGGUUUUUCCGUAACAAGAAAUUUGGGAAGACUGGAAGUUAAAUUGUUUUGUGGGUCCGAAUAAUUGAGAAAAUCGCCUGCAGGUGUGCCCCUAUGCACACGCCAGCUAGGCGCAUAAAUAACAAUUAUUUAUUUUA